AUGCCUGAAGAAGUUUUUCUCUUAAAGCAAGGUCUCAGCACUCAUGCAAAAUGCAUUUAUUUGAUUUCUCUGUUCUAGAAACACGAGCAGAACUCCAAAGAUGAGCUGCUCUCACUGCCAUCUGCCAGGACCAGGAGAGCUGCCCGGGCUGGACUCACUUCUCUGCCCCAGCAAAGAGAUGUUGCUCAGACCAACCGUGGUGCAUUCCCUGUUAAUGAUUUGGGGGAUCCUGAGGAGAGAUCCACAUCAAGAGGUGAAUUUACAAUGAAGACUGCAUCCAAAAUGCACAAUGAAAGAUAAACACAAUCCUGCAAAUUAGAGGAUUAAUGGCAGAUUGGAUAAAGACCAGCGGAGUCUCAGCUAAACCAAGGGAAAGAGCAGAUCUUUGGUCGUUGAAGACAGAAUGACUCUAAGAAACCCGCCUCAGUUUCACUCUACAUUCACUGUUGUUUCACACCUAAAACAGAUGAAAAAUUGGCAGGAUUUAAUGGAAAUCUCCAUUUAAAUCAUCAUUUUACAUUGCUUAAAGUUAAUUUAAUAAAUUAAAUGGUUGUGGGGAGGCAACACAUAGAAAACACCCUGCAGCUUUAUAAUAAAUCCCUUUCUGCCCUUCAUUCACAGGCCAGGCCAUUAAAAAACAAAACAAAACAAAAAAA